AUUAUUAUUAUAAAAAAAACAAGCAAAAUAUAUAAUUACUUUAAAAAAAAAACUUAUCUAAGAAGAACUCCAAAUCUACAACUAUAUAUCUCAAUAAUGUAGAAGUUAUUUCCCUUUUUUCCCGAAAUAAUCACCAAUAAUUAAUUUGCUAACUGGUUAAUUUUUAAUUGAUUCAUAUUUUUUAGGUACAUUAAAUAAUUGUUCAAAGCUUCAGCCUGAUCCAAGAUGAGAAAUAACGUGUACAAUAUCUAAGGGGAACACAAUCCACAUUUUUAGCCGUAUAUGUGAAUGCUGAAAGAUUAAUUCCACUUGUUGGUAUCAAAGAAAACAAUUAAUUCUCAGUUUUUUAUUAACUAAUUGUUUUUUUUAUUUUUAUUAUUGAUUCUUGUCUUUUCUUGACCAAUGAAUAACUGUGCAACGUGUUAACUUGAUGGAUGUGGGAGAAAUAACGUGUUCAAAAUGUGUAAUAGACAGAGUGAGUUGAUAGAAGCUUUGUACAAAUGUAACAUUCUAGCUAAAGGGAUGCUGAUGUAUUGUAGCGUGUGUGUGUGAUAUCAUGUUCCACAAAAGAGUAUAUUCUAUUUAAGUAAAUUGAACUGUUAGAUUAUUUGUAUGCUAUCAGAUAUUUGAUAUCCUGUACAUUUAGUUUUUUGCAAGGAUACAACACGUCCCUGCAUGGGGCGUAGUACGGAAUUUGCCAUCAUUUGGGGGGCUGGGGGAGCUUGGCCUCUUUGGGGGGGGGGGG